rnacentral:rRNA from 1 species
UGGGGAAUAUUGCACAAUGGAGGGAAAUCUGAUGCAGCGACGCCGCGUGAACGAAGAAGGCUUUCGAGUCGUAAAGUUCUUUUAUAUGGGAAGAUAAUGACGGUACCAUAAGAAAAAGCCCCGGCUAACUACGUGCCAGCAGCCGCGGUAAUACGUAGGGGGCUAGCGUUGUCCGGAAUCACUGGGCGUAAAGGGUUCGCAGGCGGAAAUGCAAGUCAGGUGUAAAAGGCAGUAGCUUAACUACUGUAAGCAUUUGAAACUGCAUAUCUUGAGAAGAGUAGAGGUAAGUGGAAUUUUUAGUGUAGCGAUGAAAUGCGUAGAUAUUAAAAAGAAUACCGGUGGCGAAGGCGACUUACUGGGCUCAUUCUGACGCUGAGGAACGAAAGCGUGGGUAGCAAACAGG